UGAAGAUGAUUACGAUUACCUCUUCAAGGUGGUGCUGAUCGGUGACUCUGGUGUGGGCAAGUCAAAUCUGCUCUCCAGGUUCACUCGGAACGAAUUUAGCUUGGAAUCUAAGUCCACUAUUGGAGUCGAGUUCGCUACUCGCAGCUUGAACGUCGAUGGCAAAGUCAUCAAGGCCCAGAUUUGGGAUACUGCUGGCCAGGAAAGGUAUAUUUAACUAACAAUUUUAAAUACCAAAAACAAUACAUUUCAGAUUCUGCUCUAUGGGGUAGGUUUUCUGUUUAGCAGAUAGUAUGAGGAAACUGCAUUACCUUUGUUCUUGAUUCUUAUAUUAGAUCUGUGGUGUGAAGUGCCUAGAGGUAUAGAAUUACCAUUUCUAUGCGUUUUUGGAUUUUUAAAACGGUUUCUCUAUGAUAACUCUAUCGCCUAUUAAACCUGGAAAAAGCUGUAAAGAGAACAUUUUUAUUGAGUUAUUUUGGGAUCAAGCAUUAAAGCUAUUGAUUAUAUGCCUAAGCUAUAGGACAGUUAAUAAUCAAAGUUUGAAUGCCAGUCCUGUUGAUUAAGCAAUUCAAAAGCUGCUUGUUUGAUCCUGGUUAUUCAAGCAGUAGUCAAUUUUGAUCCCUCUAUAUGUUUCUGUUAUCAUCAGUGGAGAAUGUUCAUGGCAUCUGCGUGCAAUGUCUGACAGGGUUUUUAAUGUCAGUAAUAGAACCUGAAAGGUUUCAUGUGAGUCCCACCUAUCAUAAAUAUUAGGGUUUAACAUUGCCUUUUUGGUGAUCGGAAUUUGCUUGGGAAUGGGUUGUCGAUCUGUGUUAAAUAUUGAUGAUGGCCGCAUUAUCCCUCUCAUUUCUUGCGCAUUUGCAUAGUGUCUGACUUGGCUCAACAGAUGUAUUAUUAACUUGAAAGCUUUUUAAGGCAAUAAUAGCAACAAGUUAUAUCUAUUUUCUUCAAUUCAAUGUGAAAGUAAUGGAAAAUUCUUCAAAUAUUUGAUCAUAAAAUGAUUUCCAUAGAUAUCUGGAUAUUGACAACUGAUGAGAAAGGACUGGCUGCAGUUGGCAAUGGCUAAUUCCUGUUUGUUUUUCUUAGGGAGUGCUUUUUCUUAUAUGAUAACAUAAACACAAACUUGAAUUUUCAGUAUUGUUUUGCUGUCUUUAACCAAUGAGCUGGUAAAACAAAUCUAUAAAGGCUGGUACAAUAAUUGAGAUGUUAAUUGCACUGGCCAGAACUAAUGCUGCUUGGUUUUUUUUAACAUUCUUGAGUACCAUGAGUUAUUCUCAGAUUUGGUUGUGCAUUAUGAGAAGAAAACAAGUUAGUUUUGUUAUCUGAUCUCCGAUUUUGUUCUCUCACCUCCAUUGUGAAACAAUUCCAGGACAUACAAAAUAUUUCUUUUAAGGAAUGCUCUACAGGUUACAAUUGUUGCUUCUUUGUGCUGUGGCGUUUAGUUUUCCUUCCUUUUUUUGGAGGUUUUUUUUGAGGAGCAGGGAACUAGGCCACUAUGUAUAAAUGAAAACUUGUUUUCAUCCAGGCCCUGAAAAUUACCACUUUUUCUUUGGUUUCUGAUCAUUAAUUAGCUUGGUUGGACAGAUUUAUGUCCUAUGGUCACAUUACUUUUUUAAACAGAUUUUCAUCUAUUAUACUCUUUCUUCAGAUAUCGUGCGAUCACUAGUGCAUACUACAGAGGAGCUGUUGGUGCCUUGCUUGUCUACGAUGUCACUCGACAUGUCACCUUUGAAAAUGUGGAGAGAUGGUUGAAGGAGCUUCGGGAUCACACUGAUUCCAACAUCGUUAUCAUGCUUGUGGGAAACAAGGCAGAUUUGAGGCACUUGCGUGCAGUUACAACUGAGGAUGCCAAGGCAUUUGCUGAGAGAGAAAACACUUUCUUUAUGGAAACCUCUGCCCUAGAGUCCUUGAAUGUUGAAAACGCCUUCACCGAAGUACUAACCCAGAUAUAUCGUGUUGUCAGUCGGAAGGCUCUUGAGGUUGGGGAUGAUCCAGCAGCCUUGCCCAAGGGACAGACUAUUAAUGUUGGCAAAGAUGAUGUCUCAGCUAUGAAAAAAGUUGGAUGCUGCUCAGCAUAGUCAGAAUAAAUGAAGUAUUGGUGUUAGUAUUUUCUCCUUUAAAGAUUUGCAUUUCAGUGGUUUGAAGAUGCCUUUGUUUCUUUGCAAACAUGUCCAAAAGAAGCCACCUGGAAUGCUUAUAAAGCAUUUGUAGUUUGAUGGCUUAGAGAUUAGCAAACUUGCUUAAGUUGAGAAACAACUCAAGGGUUCAGAUUCAAGAGACUAUCACAUUUGGCUGGCAUUUCUGUUACUUUUGUUGUUAUUCUUUUUUAUGUUUGUUUCAAUGGGUGUUGUUGUAAGCCGUAGACAGAUCCAACCCUCUAGAUUAGGUUAUAUUUUAUUGCUCAGAUUUGAAAAUUAUGUUGAGACUAUGGUGCUUUUACUGGAUUUAUUGAUUAAUUGAUUAGCCUGUCCUGAUUUAU
rnacentral:misc_RNA from 1 species